rnacentral:rRNA from 1 species
UCCGGCAACCAUACCACGUUGAAAGCACCGGUUCUCGUCCGAUCACCGCAAUUAAGCAACGUUGGGCUGAAUAUUUACUCUAUGUGAUAUGCUCCAAAAAAAACAUUAGAUAGUAGUCUAUA